GCCUAACACAUGCAAGUCGAGCGAUCUUCUUCGGAAGAGAGCGGCGGACGGGUGAGUAACGCGUGGGUAACCUGCCCUGUACACACGGAUAACAUACCGAAAGGUAUGCUAAUACGGGAUAACAUAAGAAAGUCGCAUGGCUUUCUUAUCAAAGCUUUUGCGGUACAGGAUGGACCCGCGUCUGAUUAGCUAGUUGGUAAGGUAACGGCUUACCAAGGCGACGAUCAGUAGCCGACCUGAGAGGGUGAUCGGCCACAUUGGAACUGAGACACGGUCCAAACUCCUACGGGAGGCAGCAGUGGGGAAUAUUGCACAAUGGGCGAAAGCCUGAUGCAGCAACGCCGCGUGAGCGAUGAAGGCCUUCGGGUCGUAAAGCUCUGUCCUCAAGGAAGAUAAUGACGGUACUUGAGGAGGAAGCCCCGGCUAACUACGUGCCAGCAGCCGCGGUAAUACGUAGGGGGCUAGCGUUAUCCGGAAUUACUGGGCGUAAAGGGUGCGUAGGCGGUCUUUCAAGUCAGAAGUGAAAGGCUACGGCUCAACCGUAGUAAGCUUUUGAAACUGUAAGACUUGAGUGCAGGAGAGGAGAGUGGAAUUCCUAGUGUAGCGGUGAAAUGCGUAGAUAUUAGGAGGAACACCAGUUGCGAAGGCGGCUCUCUGGACUGUAACUGACGCUGAGGCACGA
rnacentral:rRNA from 1 species